rnacentral:misc_RNA from 1 species
CUAAGGUUGACCUCGGAUCAGGUAGGAAUACCCGCUGAACUUAAGCAUAUCAAUAAGCGGAGG